AACGGCCUACGGGGCGCAGCAGUGGGGAAUAUUGCACAAUGGGGGGAACCCUGAUGCAGCGACGCCGCGUGGGUGAAGGAGUACUUCGGUACGUAAAGCCCUAUCAGCAGGAAAGAAAAUGACGGUACCUGACUAAGAAGCCCCGGCUAACUACGUGCCAGCAGCCGCGGUAAUACGUAGGGGGCAAGCGUUAUCCGGAUUUACUGGGUGUAAAGGGAGCGUAGACGGCAUAGCAAGUCUGAAGUGAAAGCCCGUGGCUCAACCGCGGAACUGCUUUGGAAACUGUUAAGCUGGAGUACUGGAGG
rnacentral:rRNA from 1 species